rnacentral:tRNA from 1 species
GAUCGCGUAGCUCAGUUGGCAGAGCAUUGGGCUGGUAUUCCAAAGGUCGUAGGUUCGAUUCCCACCGUGGUCA